rnacentral:rRNA from 1 species
ACGAACGCUGGCGGCGUGCCUAACACAUGCAAGUCGAACGGUUCAGGAGGCAAGAAACGAGAAGCGCGAGGCAAGAGAACAAGAGGGAUUGGUUUUUGGCCAAUUUCAGCUAAGGAGAUUUGCUUCAUGCGUCUGGUUUCUUGUCUCCUGGAUAGUGGCGGACGGGUGAGUAACGCGUGGGUAACCUGCCUAUCAGACAGGGAUAACACCGGGAAGCUGGUGUUAAUACCAGAUACGCUUUAGAGGAGGCAUCUUCUUUAAAGGAAAGGACAACCGCUGAUAGAUGGGCCCGCGUCCCAUUAGCUAGUUGGUAGGGUAGAGGCCUACCAAGGCGACGAUGGGUAGCCG